rnacentral:lncRNA from 1 species
AUUGAUUGUCACUCAGCAAGUAUUGUGCAAUGUCAUCCAACAUAGCUUGGUAUUCCUCUGAACCAUCGUCCACAAAAGGUGUUUUUGUAGAAGCCAUUUGUUCUGUAAUAUGAUGUCCUAUGUGAUUUACAAGGUCACUCAUUGACAUGGAUGGAUGAAGCCCCGGAACUUUUAUCUGCUCCCAGUUUAUUGGCUUGCCGGUAACUUUAGUACUUCUAUUCUCUUCAAUCUCACGAGCAUCCAUCACUGAUGUACAAAAACGUAGUGGGUGACACUGAUUAGAAGAUAACGUUGGAAAUUGAGCUAUAUAGAGAAUAUAUAUAUAAAUUAUUUAAUCUUCCAAACACGUCCUCAGAAUAGAUAUCUGUCCAUUUUCAAAAAUAGGGAAAAAGUGAAUGAAAUGCAAGAGAUUUUGGGAGAAAAAGCUGGAGGGUACUACCAAAAAAAAUUGGAAACCAGGACAGUGACGUUUAUGAAUGCUGGAUGAUAAGCAGAUCAGGUGUAGGAUGCUAUUGUCAUGCACAAGUUCUUUAAUAAUCAAGUCUAGUUUAAUUGACUAGUAGUUUGAUUACCUUAAGACACAGAGAGGAAAAGGGGCAGAGAAGUAUGUAUUGGCUAUGUUCCAUCAUAUUCUUUCUGCCCCUUCUCUAGAUUAAAGGUAAGGUGCUUAGCUAAUGGAGAUUACCAUUUUUCAUGCGUAGACCAACUUGCAAGUUCAAUGUACCUGAGCUGGGGGAAGGUGCCUUCACAGUGAAAGGCUCGAACACCAUUUGAGGGGAAGCCUGUUCUAUCGUCAAUGAAGUCGCAGCAGUUGAUGAAACUACAUCCUGGAAAGCAGAAAGUAGAGAUU